CCACACACCCCAUCUGCUCCUCUAUCUGCCUCUCCAAAAAUUUUCAAAGUCCGCACCAAUUCUGAGAAUCCGGUCCUUAUCCGAUGAGAGCUCUUUCGACAAGGCUGCCACUCCUUUUUUAAGAUCAAUAUUCGCAUCCUUAAUGGAUCUAAUAAAAGCUUCUAACUCAACUGCUUUAAAUUCAUCAUUGCUCGUUUAAAACUUCUUUGUAUGAAGCCACCAAGUCUUCUCCCCUUUUCACAAGCUCAGGUACCAAUUUCCGUCAACAUCCAAGAACCAAUCUCCAAAAUUAUCAACGAAUGAUGCACAUAAUGCAACGCAUCCAAAGUACCAACAGAGAACAGAGGACAGCAACCAAGAAAAACAGAGUAUGGAGAAUGAAACCAAGAUGAACCGGUGAAGGCCACAUUUUGCGUUUUUGGUUCCCUAGCUUAGAAGUAGAUAUGAACUAAGUGCAUCCCAUGGAAAUGAAAACAAAAACAAAAACAAAACUCCCACAUGAUGAUAAUGAAGCUAAAACAGAGUCGUGUUGCUCUCAAGUCACCCCAAAGAAAAUGAAGGAGAUAACAACAAUAAACCAAACAGAAACCAUGGAACUAAACCCCUAAUCAAGCAGUUCACAUCAAAUACCAAGAAAAGAGAAAGAGACUACAUGCCGACGAAAAGAAAUAAAAGAUCCAUGAAGGUCAUACCUAGGUUUCUCAAAGCUUGGUCAGCUUCUCACGCUUUUUGUUACUCCAAAAAUGGGAAGACUCCAGCUCCUUUCCUCUCCCUAUUCUCUGAUCCCUUUCCUUCCUGUUCCUCCCUCUAUCUCCUGCUUCUAUCUUUCGCAGCAAGCCAUUACCAGCUCUUCUAUUCCUCCCCUCAGCAAGCAUGGCAUCUUCAACCACCAGCAUGGUCGCCUCUGCCUCUUUACGUGUCCACACGUCCAAUGCAACUCCUUCUUGGCAGAAAAGAGGUCCCCCUCCUCACUUCAAAAAAAAUCUCCCAAGUGGUCCUCCCAAACCAAAUGGAAAAACCCCUGGUCUUUGAAGGGGUUUACAAAUAUGCCCCUCUUUGGUAGGGUUCACGAGUGUAAGGAAUAUGAACACUAGAGUGAAAAGAAAGUGUGAAUAAUGAGUGGAAUGAAGUGGACUCUCCUGAAGAACAAAGAAGACCCCAAAGGAACAUUAGUGAAAUACGAACUCACUCAAACCAACAAACGAACACAAAGGCUUUGGUCCUAAGAGAAAAUGAUAUCUCGAAACGCCUCCGAAGCCGCUCUAAGGACUCAGACUCUCUCUAAGACGUCUCCAAGAGUGACUCGAAGGUCAAUGAAAAAAAUGAGCAAUGAUCAAACCACUCUAGAGUACAGGAAAGACUACGCCUUAAGGAGACUAUCCUAUGUGAACUACAUGAAAGUGACAAGCAAAGAGUGCCCAACAACAUGACCGAAGUAUGUGUCAUGAACUCAAAGGAUUGUGUCUCGAGCAGUGAAAAGAGAAAUCUGGAAAAGCGAUGACAAAUAGGCGAUAAGCACAGGGUAACAAGGUGAGGAAAUUGAUGAUAAGUGCAAAGCCAUGGAGGCAAGACGUGUCAAGCCAGUGAAUAUGAAUGCUAGGAACUGUGACCUUGAAUGAUACGGCUAAGGAGGAGUGACUCUGAAUGAUAUGGCUAAAGAGAAGUGACUUUGAAUGUCAAUCAGGAGAAAAGAACAUGAUGACUCAAAAUGCUUGAGUGGAUACGUACAACGACUCUAAAUACCAAAACUAAUAACAAGAUGAUAGUGGCACUAAAUGCCGAACUGAACUGUGGCUCUGAACGUCGGGACUAAGAAAGGAAAUGACUCAAGAUGCAUGAAUGGGUAUGAAAAACGGCUCUAAAUGCCAAAACCAAAGAAAAGAAAUGACUCAAAAGACCCGAAAGGGCGUGCCCGAUGGCUCCGAAUGCCAGAAUUGGGGAAUAGGUGAUGGAUCGAACGAAAGAUAGGCACGAGCACCUUGAGUGUUGAACGAAAACCACGACUCUGAACUCUAAGCAAAAACAAACAAUGGCUCUGAACACCGAAUGAAGAUGUGGAUCUAAAUGCUAGAUGAAGAUGUGGAUCUGAAUGCCAGAUGAAGAUGCUGAACGCUGACAGAAGAUGUGGCCCUGAACGCUGAAACGAAGAAUAAGCAAUGGCUCUGAAUGUCGAACACAGGUGUGAUUCUGAAUGUCGGACGAAGCAAAACAUGGCUCUGAACACCGGGAUGAACGAUGUAAUGGCUCUGAACGUCGAAUGAAGCUGUGACUCUGAACGCCGAAACUGAAGAGUGAUGAUGAAGACUAUGAACGCUAAACAGAAAACACGGUGAUGACUCUGAACGCCGAAACUAAAAAGUGAUGGUGAUGACUCUGAACGUCAAACGGAAAAUGCAACUCGAAACGUCAAACUGAAUACCGAUGAUGGCUUUGAAAACCGAAACUGAGAAUGUGAUUCCGAACGUCAAACUGAGAAGUGGUGGCUCUGAGCGCCGAAACUGAGAAGCGAUGAUGGCUCUGAACGCCAACACUGAGAAUGCGAUGAGGAUGACUCUGAACGCCGAUACUGAGAAGUGAUGAUGAUGACUCUAAACCUCGAAACCGAAAAAUGGUGAUGAUGGCUCUGAACGCCAAGCUGAAAAUGUGAUGAUGAUGGCUCUGAACGCCGAAACCAAAAAUGCGAUGAUGAUGGCUCUGAACGCCGAAACUGAAAAUGCGACUCUGAACGUCAAACUAAAAAUGUGAUGAUGAUGGCUCUGAACGUUGAAACUGGAGAAGUGAUGAUGACUCUGAACGCCGACAUUGAGAAUGCGAUGAGGAUGACUCUGAACGCCGAUACUGAGAAGUGAUGAUGAUGACUUUGAACACCAAGCUGAAAAUGUGAUGAUGAUGGCUCUGAACACCGAAACCAAAAAUGCGAUGAUGAUGGCUUUGAAUGCCGAAACUGAAAAUGCGACUCUGAACGUUAAACUGAAAAUGUGAUGAUGAUGGCUCUGAACGCUGAAAUUGGAGAGGCGGCUCUGAACGCCAAAACUAUGAAACGAUGAUGGCAAUGAACGUCAAACGGAAAACAGGAUGAUGGCUCUGAAUGCCGACACUAAAAAGUGACGGUGGCUCUAAACGCCGAAACUAGAAAGCAAUGGUGGCUUUGAACGCCAAAACUGAAAAUGCGAUGAGGAUGGCUCUGAACACCGACACUGAGAAGUGAUAAUGAUGGCUUUGAACGCCAAAUGAAGAUGUGAUGAUGAUGACUCUGAACGUCAAACUAGGAAGUGAUGAUGGCUCUGAAAGCAGAAACCAAGAAACGUGACAAUGAUGGCUUUGAACGCCAAAACUGAAAAUACGACUCUGAGCGUCAAUCCGAGAAGUGAUGACGGCUCUAAACGUCAAGCUGAAAAAUGAUCAACGACUUUGAACGCCAAAAUGAAAAUGACGGCUCUGAACGCCAAAAUGAAACAAUGGCUCUGAAUGUCAAACCAAAAGAAACAUCGAUGAAUGCCAAUCUGAAACAAAAGCUCUACAUGCCCAACUAAACUGGUAACUAGGAAUGUCAUGCUGAGAAAGAUGACUCUGAACAUCGUAAACGAGAAGACACGAUGGCUCUGAACGCUAAGCUGGAAAGGGUCUGAAAGAGAUUUCAUGAGUCCCGAAAGAUGCUCUGCUAGCAAGUCAGAAUGAUCAAAUUGACUGUGAACAUAGUCUCUCAACCCUCCUAACUAAAUCAUGGGGUCUCAAUCCCAAAGUAACAAUCCACUGAAGAGUCAUGGCUAGUUGGGCGAUCAGAACCCGAACGUUGUGCUCCACUGAAAGCUCAUCUCGACAAAAAACACGGGUAUAGCAAUCAGUAAGGCAAAUACAAUAUAUCUCGGCCGAGUGAUGGAAACUGUUAUGGAUCUGUGAGAGAACGAUCGCCUCCGCAGCUGAAUGAGGGAAAUAUGUCCCAGUAUAAUGUCAGACGUAUCCUAUCUGUCAUGAUAACUCGAGAAUAACUCUAUGGGGAUGCAUAAAAGGUCCAAUAUGUACUCCACUGAAAUGGUGAUGCAGGAAUCCACGUGCCUGAGAUAGCUUUGUCCAAGAAUCACGACUAUAUCAGAGAGUAUGAAUCUGGCUGAAUGACUCAAGAAUAACUCCUUGGAGUAUCAGGAUAAAAUGAAAUCAUAUCAUUGACCUGAUGUGUAUCUCAUAACCGGGGGUGAUCACGCAAAUCAAUGGGGAAUCUACAAAUCCCAACCAAAAUAGGGAACACACUCCAGUGUGGCAUCAAAAUGUGACAAGUCGGAAAAUCAGAUGAGCUCAAAAUCCUCCAUCAUCAAAUGUGCGACCCAAGUCACCCAUGUUUGUAACUGAAUCAGACCCAUAGAUCGAAGGGGCGUUUCCCAGAAGGAAAGUAUGAUGACAUCUAAGUGUCGAGAAGUGCAGGCCUAACCGGGCAACUCUCGAGAGGCCCCAUUGAGGAAUCAUCGUAAAGAUAGUGAAUAGAUCAUCGUCUCGGCGCAUGUCUCACAAAUGGGGAUAAGUAUACAACUGCACCAGGAUCUGUAAGUCUCAUCCAGAACAGUAAUAUGCCCCAGUAUGGCAUCGAACGUAUAAUAGGUCGGAGAUCGGGUGACAUGAAAUCAUCUAUCAUCGAACAUGCGACAUCCGUGAAGAUUCGUAAAUCUCAUCCGAAACGGAAAUAUGCCCCAGUAUGGCAUUAGGUGCACGACAGGUCCGAAUAACAAAUGACAUGAAAUCAUCUAUCGUCACACUUGUAAUCCUGGUCAUCCGUAAAUCUCAUUCGAAACGAAAAUAUGCCUUAGUAUGGCAUCAGGCACACGACAGGUCCGAAGAACAAAUGACAUGAAAUCAUCUAUCGUCGCACAUAUAAUCCUGGUCAUCCGAAUCUAUAACUGAAUCAUGCCCAUAGAUCCAAGAUGUACCUCCCGAAUGGAGAAGCAUGAUGACAUCUAAGUGCCGAGAAGUGCGGGCCUAGAUGGAUGGCUCUCGGGAUGCUCCACUGAAGAAUCAUGAUAAGGUAACGAUCAUGUCCAUGUCUCAGUGAGCAUCCAGUAAGUGAUAAUGAUCGUGCGAGUCCCCGAGGAUCCAUAAACCUCUAAGUAAAAAUUGGAUAUGCCCUAGUGUGGCACUAGAGGUACGAUAGGUCAAAAAUCGGGUGACACCAAAUCAUCCAUCGUCAAACACAUGAUCCCGGUAAUCUUGAACACAACUGAAUCAGACCUACACAUCAAAGAGGUGACUCCCAGAAGAAGAAGCAUGACGAUAUCUAAAUAUCACCGGAUCUCAAGCACCUGUCCAAGUAGAGGCUGCCGAAGACGUCAUUUGAUCCCAUGGCCUCAGGGUGGUCUUAAGACACGAGACGUAACGUAGGCUAGGGUGAUAGGUGAUAGAAAUGAAGGGAAACUAGGCUCAAAUACCCAACGAUCAGAAACUCAUGCCCUCAUAUGUGAAAUGCAACAUGUAUAGUAAAUCCCGUGAGCCGUAGACUUGAGGAUGCCUAACGUGAAUAUGAUGUGAAUAACAAGACAAUGAGGCAAAUCAAACUGAUAAUGAGAUAUGCAGGAACGAUGAAAGGGAAACGUCACAUCUGGAAUAGGUCAAUGUAGGAAAAGAACAAGAGGGGGGGGGGGGGGGGGGGGUAAAACGAAUGAGAUGAAUCACAAGCAAUGACAAAGAUGACAGUGGAACAAUGAAUAUACGAAGAAAGGUGGUGAUCGACUCAAAUCAAACAUGAAGUGAAGCCACAUCAAUAAUGAAUGUAAUGAUGGAAAGGAUAAUGACUCGGAGUCCUUAGGAGAAGGUCACUCAUCUCACUCUCAAAGAGAUACGACAAAGCAAAUACAAAUAACAUAGGAUCCUAAAGAGCUCACAUACGAACUCUCAAUAAUGAACAUACUCGAUAAAAAUGACCCUCGAAUAUCAAUAUACACACUCAAUGAUCGAGAACACUAUGCACAUUCACACAUGUGCUUAUUUUUUCUUUUCUUUUCAUUUUCAUUUUCAUUUUCAUUUUCAUCAUCAUUUUUUUUUUUUACGUAUAUACAAAUACACAUACCCUAAACAUGAACAAAUGAACCCCAAGGAUGAUAUCGAUAACGGGGACACCAUCUCAAGUGCUAAGGCAACCAAAACUCUCUCUAACGAGAUGACCUUCUCAAACUAAGGAUUUCUAAACCAAUGUCCACAAGAUAGAUGGUGGAAAUGAUGUGACUAUCCUCCAUGUGAUGAACUGAGGAGGAUCACCACUCAGGGUGGAGAGAAUAUGAAACAAACAAGUAAUAGAUAGGAUAAGGAAGAAGAGACGAGGAACACAACCAACGAGAUGAGAUGAAAAUGCAAAGGUGCAGUGAUAAGAAAAGAUAAUGAGAAAAACGUGCCCCUAGGUCCAAGGCUCAUGAAACUCCCAAACAAUGCAUGCACACAUUAAAGGGCCCCUAUCCCGGUGUGAAAAUAUGAGCAAGGCGAUAAGAAAGAAAGGUUAUAAUGCGCAUGCGAGGCUCAAUGGGCUAGCAACGGACUAUGUAUCAAAAGGGAAUAACAAGGUAUAUGGCUAACCGAAAUGGUGGCCACCCAUCAUAUGACCAUGGUCUCAAACAUAGUACCUCUUUAGUUGAUCCACAUUGGUCGGCUCUGAGAAUCGGUUUCCAUCUAAAUCCAUCAACCAUGUAGCGCCCUCUAGGGUCAACUCCCUAAUGAAAUAAGGUCCGCUCCAGUUGGGUUUGAACUUCCCUCUAGGAUCUCUGAUCAAUCCCUUGAUGACUUUUAGAACCAAGUCACCUAUCCGUAAUGGUCGGGGCUUGACCCGCCUUUUGAAAGCGCAUGCCAUCUUUCUCUGAUAUGUACGAACAUGGUCGGCUGCUCUCAAUCUCCUCUCAUCUAGGAGAUUGAGCUGAUCAAAUCGAGCCUGAGCCCAAUCUGCCUCGGGAAUCUACUACUCUAGUGCUACUCUCAAUGAACCCAUCUCGAUCUCAACUGGUAGCACCGUUUCCAUGCCGUAUACCAAUGAAUAGGGUGUGAGUCCUAUAGAGGUGCGAAAAGAAGUCCGAUAAGCCCACAAUGCAAAUGGGAGCUUCUCUGAACAAUCCCGAGAAGUCUCAACCAUCCUCCAUAAAAUCCUCUUAAUAUUCUUAUUUGCAGCCUCUAUUGCUCCGUUUGUCUGCGGCUUGUACGCAGACGACCUAUGAUGUCAGAUCUUGUAUCCCUGUACUAAGGUGUCAACCUCUACUUUGAAAUGUACCCCUCUAUCCGAAAUCAACUCAUGAGGGACUCCAUAGCGAUAGAUAAUGUGUGAUAUGAUGAAACUAGCAACUCCAGAUGAUGUCAAUCUCGCAUACGAAGCAGCCUCCACCCACUUGGUGAAGUAAUCGAUGGUGACCAAGAUGAACUCAUGACCACUGGAAGAUUUUGGUGAAAUCCUCCCAAUGAUAUCAAUACGCCAUACGGAAAAUGAUCAUGGUGAAGUCAGUGCAUGCAACUCGGAGGGCGGCACGUGAAUGAGGUCCCCAUGUAUCUAACACUCGGGACAUCUCUGAACAAACUGACAACAAUCCGUCUCCAUGGUCAACUAGAAAUAGCCAGUCCUCAUGAUCUUAUGGGCCAACAUAUGCCCUCCCAUAUGUGGUCCGCAGACUCCCGCAUGAACCUCCCUCAUCACUCUAUCGGUAGAGGCUCUGUCCAAGCACAAUAGUAGCAUCCCAUCAGCUGAUCGUCUAUACAAUGUCUCGCCACAAAUCACGAAUUAGGCGGCUAACUGUCUCAAUGCUCUCUUAUCCUUGCCCGUGGCGGCCUCAGGAUAUACUCCAAGUCUCAGAAAGUGAUAUAUGUCAUGGUACCAGGGCAAACCAUCGUCUAUCUCCGUAUCAUCAAUCAAACAACAAUACGCGGGAGCAAAUCUCGACUCGAUCAACAAUGGGCGAACAGUGGCAUCAGCAGGAAUGUCAAUCAUGGAAGCUAGAGUAGCUAAAGCAUCAGCAAACUAGUUCUGCACUCUAGGCAGAUGGGUAUAUCUCAAAUCAUCGAAUCUCUCAACCAGUAGCUCUAAAUAUGCGUGGUAAGGCCUAAGCUUCGCAUCUCUAGUCUUCCACUUACCCUGAAUCUGUCUCAAUACCAGAUUGGAGUCACCAAACACCUUCAUCUGUCUAAUCCCGAGCUCGAGGGCUGUCUCUAAUCCCAAGAUACAAGCUUCAUACUCAACAAUGUUGUUCGUGGCAGGAUGUCGAUCCGAGAAUGCCAGACGAACAGAUCUGGGGAUAUGAUCACCAUGGGGGGAUAUCAACAAGAUGCCUAUCCCGUAUCCAGAAUGGUUGGUUGCACCAUCAAAGUACAUGCGCCAUCCUGACAGACUGGUCACAACAGUGACAUCCUCGUCUGGGAAGUCGUCAUCAAUGACUCUGCCAUCAGAAACUGGUAAAGAAGCUAGGUGAUCUGCGACAAUGCUCCCUCUCAUGGACUUCUGAGUGACAUAAUGGAUGUCAAACUCAGUCAGAAGUACUAACCAUCUCAUGAGAUGACUGACCAAAGUAGGCCUGUCAAACAAAUAUCUCAGAGGAUUUAGACGGGAUAUCAGAUGCACUAAAUACUCAAUCAUGUAGUGUCUUAAUCGUCGAGUGGCCCAAACCAAUACCAAGCAAUAACGCUCAAUCAUAACAUAUCUCGUCUCGUAAUCUAGCAUCCUCUUACUCAGAUAAUAAAUGACUCUAUCCUUGCCCGAAUCAUCAAGCUGAGCCAACAUGCAUCCCAAGGCCACGUCUGAGAGGUGACAACAAAUACUCUCUGAUCCUCUCGAAUGCGCGCUGACACUGAUCAUCCCAAACAGUAGGUUGACUCUUCGUCAAGAGUCUAAAAAUAGGCUCACAGAUGUCUGUCAAUCUGGCAAUGAACCUAAUGAUGUACUGAAGUCUACCCAAGAAGCCUCUAACCUUUCUCUCUGUCCUCGGUGCUGGCAUGUCAAGGAUGGCUCUGAUCUUGUCCAGAUCUACCUCUAUGCCUCUCUCACUGACCAUAUACCCCAAGAGUUUCCCAGAAGUUACUUCGAAAGUGCACUUCUUGGGAUUCAGUCUCAAUCUGAACUGUUAGAUCCUCUCAAAGAACCUCUUCAAAGCUGCUAGGUGACCUGGUCUCUCUCGGGAUUUCACUAUCAUGUCGUUUACAUAAACCUCGACAUCUCGAUGCAUCAUGUCAUGGAAGAGGGUGGUCGCUGCUCUCUAAUAGGUGGCUCCUGCGUUCUUCAAUCCGAAUGGCAUGACUCUAUAGCAAUAAGUACCCCACUCGGUAAUGAAAGACGUCUUCUCCAUGUCAUUUGGAGCCAUCAAGAUCUUACUGUACCUGGAAAAUCCGUCCAUAAAGGACAACAUCGAAUGACCUGCCAUACUGUCAAUUAGCAUGUGAUACGUGGAAGAGAAAAAUCAUCCUUAGGACUGGCUUUGUUGAGAUCUCGAAAAUCAACAUAGACUCUCACCUUGCCGUCCUUUUUGGGAACAAGGACGACAUUGGCCAGCCACUCCGGGUACUCGACCACUAAUAAAAAUCCUACACUGGGCUACUUUUGAAUCUCCUUCUUCACCUGUAAACUCCAAUGAGGGUGUAAUCGUCUCAACUUCUGCUUAAUCGGUCUAGCAUGGGGCAGAAGUGGCAAACGAUGUUGGACGAUAGAUGGAUCAAGGCCUGGCAUGUCCUCAUAGGACCAUGCGAAAACGUCUAAGUAAGAUCUGAGCAGCUGGAUGAGGCUAUCCCUCUCAUCCGUAGAUAAAUUCGAUCCGAUCCUCAACUCUCUAGGAUGAUUUGCUGCGCCAAAAUCAACAAUCUCCGUGUCUCCUACAGUAGGUGAAACUCUCUAAUCAACGGGAUCCGAAUCGGAAGCAAAAGAUGAGUCAUCGUUUGAAUCAUGCUGCGCAACCUCAUCAUCAAUGUCAAGAAUCUAUGAUGUGGGUGAAGAUGGUGCGGAAAAAGCAUUAACAUAAGAGAUAGGCAAAUACUCAAAGAUGCUCAAAUCCAUAGAUGAGAAGUCAGAAACAUAGUCAUGACGGGAGACAAAUCCCGAUAAAACAUAAAAGGAAAGAGGUGGGUCCACAAAGUCGAAUGCUCCCUCAACUAGGCCAACAGGGCCAUCAAACAAACCGUCAACAACUAUAACAUCCUCAGCAACCUCCAGAGCAGGAGCGACUUGGAUCUCCUCGACGAUCUCGAGAACGGACACCUCGAAGAGAUAAAAUGGUGAAGCGAGCUCAAGCGGGGUUAUCUCCUCGAUCUGGCUCAAACUCAUCGCGAACAUUUCGUCAAUGUACUCGUCAUGUGGCGCGGCUUCGUUUACUAUGUCGCUAAUCUCGACAAAUGUCCCGUGAUCAUCGAUCUCCUCCGGGAAGCAGAGCGUCAUAAGGCUCAUGCGAUCUGGGGAGGAAGGAGCAAUCAACGAAGAAGUCGAAGGGCCAAGGGCUCUGUCACUCAACCGUAACUGCUGGACGAGGUGCUAAAGCUCGGCCUCUUAGGUGAUGCUGAGUCCUCCGAUGAUCCCAUCAGACGGUGCAUGUGACUUUGAUGCCCUCACAAAGUAAUCGGCUAGGCUCAUGGUGUAUGGACGGACAGGAUAAUAAAACGGCGUGUGAGUCAGCCGAGCCCUCACCCUCUCUUUGCGCAAUAGCGCCAUAUAACGAUAAUCGGCCUCAGUGGGAAUAAAUCCGAGCCCGAAUAGUACAUCAUGGUCCGGAAAGGCCAUGAACUCACUAGGCUCGUGCUGACGCCACCCUAAACCCAUGCUGGGAAGAUAGGACAUGCUCCGCAUAAUAUCGAGCACCAUCGUGCUGCUGUGCUGGUCGAAGGACAUGGCUACAAAGUCUCAACAGAAAUCCUCCAUCUCCAGAGUCUACACCUCAUCAAAGGUGAAUCCGGUCAGAAAAAGAUAAUCAUCAGUGUGACUAAUCUCGAGUACGGGCUAGGCUGAAAUGAACAUAUCCCCCACAAACUGCACCACGACGACCUGGCCAUCAUGAAUAAACUUCACCUUCUGAUGAAGGGAAGAAGGAAUGGCCCCAGCUCUAUGGAUCCAUGGUCGGCCCAGAAAUAGGUUAAAGGAUGUAGGAAUCCUCAAAACCUGAAACACGACGACAAAAGUGGUCGGACCAAUCAAUAGCUCAAUCUCUAGUAUACCCAUGACCUCCCUUCGAGUGCUAUCAUACACACGAAUGGUCUGAGUGGAGGGACCGAAAUCCGAUGGUGCGUAGCCGAGGGCAAUGGCGGUGGCCAGAUGAUAGACGUUCAGGGCCAAGCCAUUGUCCAGAAGGACAGAUGGGACUUGGCGGCCUGAAUAACCGACAAAUAUAUAGAGUGGACGUGUAUGAUCUGGGCCCUCUGGUGGCAAGUCGUCAUCGGAGAAUACAAUGCAUGUGGCUCUACCGGCCGUCAUCAUAUGAAUCAAUCCCUCAGGGAAGGUGGUAGUCUCAACCCUAAUCUGGCUCAAAGCUCAAAUCAGAGCAUCACGGUGAGUGCUCGAGGAUGCCAACAGGCUCCAGAUGGAAAUACGAGCCUAAGUGCUCUAUAGCUGUCUCAAGAUCUCAUCGUCUUCUGCUCUGACCUUCUUAGGAGCAGAUGUACCCUUAACUGGCAUGGCUGCUGUGGGAGGUGGUUGUUGCAUCACUCUACCUCCUCGGAGAAUAUACUGAACGUCCAGAGUCUGAGAAUCAUCAACGUGUGGAGCCUGAACCCCCUAAACAUCCGGGAUCAAGAUGAAUGGCGCCUGGACGCUGUAAUGUGGCAAAAUCAGUGGCUCAAUAGUGGCAAUCUGCACUGAUGCCGCCUCGGGAAUUAAUCGGAAUGGAGCAGGCAUCCGAAGUCCUAGAGUCACCCCACUCAUCUCAUAAAUCACAUAUGGCAUGAUGGGCACUGGGUCUGAAUCGUCCUUACUCAACAUGUGGACAUGGUCGUCGAUCUCAUCAAAGUCCAAGAAAUGAAUACCAUCUGUUGGUGGAGGAACUACAUGUGUGGUGUGGGUUGGUAACGGGUUUGUGGUCACACUCGGCUGACCCAAGUGUACCAAACCCUGGUCGAUCAAAUCUUGGACGGCAUGUCUCAAAGCGGUGCAUCGAUUGGUCUCGUGUCUAGGCCCUUAAUGGUAUGCACAGUGCAAAUCCAUCCUGAACUGAGGUGAAAUCUGCUGAGGUGGCGGCCUAGGAGCGAGAGCAGUCAACAACCUUGCCUCUAUAAGCUUCCAAAAAGCCUGGCGCAACGGCAUGCCUAAUUGCGAGAACUGCCUAUGUGUCCUCAAAGCAAAUGGAGCAGAAGUUUGCUGAGCUCUGGGUCGAGGAUAAGGCGAUGCGGGUCUCGUCGUGAAUUGAGCAGCAUAGCAUGGCUGUCCUGUGGCUGUGUAGGAAACUGGGGGUCUCUCGAUGCCCUGUGUGGCAUAAUAAGGCAAAGCCAAAGUCUGUGGCACAUAGGUCUGAUCAUAAGUCGGGCGAGGUGCCUGAGGCCUGUACUGCUAAGGUGGAUAAGAGGGAUGAGUCUCAGGGAACCGUGAGACUGGCAAAUAACGCCUAGGAGGCCUCUGAUUAGAAGAACCGAUGGCGCUCACAUCAACUGACCUCUGUCAUCCCAAGGGUUUCUUCCCCUUAACAUCACUAGGGGAAGAAUCAGUCCACAAUCCCCUCAAGAUGCCGUCCUCGACAUCGUAUAAAGCCGAAACCAACGAACCAAAAUCUGUGAAGGGUACCUCGACCAUGUGUCUGGCAAUCCUGGGUUGUAGACUCCUCAAAACCAUCUGUAUCUGAUCCCUUUCCGGAGGCCUGUCAAUGAUCUCGACAAUCUUCCCGCGCUAGCGGGAGAUGAAUGAUGAAACUGACUCAUCUGUCCUCUAUCUCAAAGCCUCGAACUCUCUCCUUGAUACACCUACGAUAGUGUUAAAUGAAAACUGUCGUAAGAACUCCUGGGCCAAGUCGUCCCAUGUCCGACGUCGUGAGGACUCCAGGGAUGCAAACCAGCAUUGGGCUACCCUACUCAGAGAUAGCGGGAACAGAGUGAUCAUCUGCGACUCGUCCAGACCAUGAGCCCUCAUCACUGUGCUAUAGAGCAAAGGUGGAUGCGUGGACAACCAAUGCCCGUAUAUCUCUCGAUGUCUAGCAUCCUGAACUUGGCUGGUAGACUGGCCACUGGUAUACUAUCAAGAUCAUCCCAAACUGAUGAACUGUCAGAUACCCUCAACUGCCUGAUACGCUGCUCAAUACGGUCCAUACGUGCAUGAGCGUCAUCAGUGAUUGUGGUCGGAACGACUACAGUUGGAGCAACCUCAAAAUGCCCAUGCAAUACAUAAGGUGAGGCCUGAGGCACCGUCGGCGCGGGUGGUGGCAGUGGUUGUGGCAACGAAUCAUGAAGAGUCUCAUCUUGAACUAUGGGCGGUUUGCUCUACUAGCGGCCAAUCUCCUGCUUGAGGCUAGCCAAAGCCUCUUAGAUAGAAGUCAUGGCGGCCGUAAACUGAUCCACUGUAACAACUUGUUGAUCCAUACUCGAUCUCUCGGAAUGACGGACUAAUCUCCCCUCUACUCUGACCCAAAGAGGCGUAUCCAGACUGUGAACGAAGAUCCGAUCCUGAAAAUGCAAAGAAAUGAAUAAGGAUAUGGCCCGGGGAAAGCAUAGCAGUAAUAAUAAUCUGAACGGAAACAAGCAAGGCAUCCAAGUGAAGACGGACGGUCCGACCGCACUCAAACUCAUACUGAUCUCUAUGCACUCUCAACUGGAGACUGAAGAAAGAGUAUCGGAAUCCAAGCUAUGACUACAGAGGCUCUGAAAGCCCUCAGAUGCACCCACGUGUAGAGAGGGAGUCCUAAUUGAAGGAUCUACUACUCAACCUACGAGAUGAAGGUGGCUCUAAAUGGAUAUGGGUGGACUUUAAAGGAUCCCUAGCAGAAGCGAUCAUACCCUCCAGCGGUAUGCAACCCUCUGCAUGCCUCCGAAGAGAAAGGGCGCUUCCAUGCAAGGUGGUCAUCACCUCCACACAUGCAUUACCUCGACAUCCCAAGGGGUUUCCUAUGGUGAAACCUCUCAAACUCCCAACGCUCAAUGGUCAACUAGAGUGCACAGUGAACGGUGUGGGUGCAUCCGAUAACCCUAGGAAGCUAAAACAGAAAAUGAAACACACUGGCCACACAAAUAUCCAUGAAACCUAGCUCCGGGCUAUACGGGUCUUCAAUGAUCGGACUCCAAUCGACAUCAAAGUGUUGCUCUCCUCUAGAAUGCUCCCGUACAUUGAUAUAGCCCAUUACUAGACCCUACUCCUAAUCCCUGGCUCGGUUAGAGAGCAAUCGCACAGAAGGUCUCACACUUGCAAUAGUGAGAACCGGGAUGAAAGGAAUGACUGAAACUAAGAGAGUGGGAAGUAGGGGGAUAUAUGUGGGACCCACUUAGACAAGCGACAUGCAAUCAUGCAGAGGAAUGGUAGUCAUGCAACAUAUAAUCAAGUAGAAUACAAGAUAUAUCACUCAUGUCCACACAAAAGCUAUGACGAUCAGGACGAAUAGCGACACAAACAUCAUGCUCAAAAGACGAUCAAGAUAAUAUGCGAGCCAGAGAAAAUAACACAGCAAGUCAAACGAUGUACAAUAGUGAGUCUAUGCAUGUGAAGUGAGCAGAAUAAUAAAGAAGAAACAGAAUCGCUAUACCAAGCAAGACAAGAUGAGCAAUCUAUGAUAAUCGGCAUGUCAAUGUACCAAACUAAACUAGCAAUGAAGUACAGAAAAAGCAACAUCCGAAGCCCCAAUCAAGAUAAUCAAUCAUAUCAAUGUCACAACACAAUAUCCAAGCAUGCAUAAAAAAUUCCCAAUGUGCAAUCAAGAAAUAGGUAACCACUGAUCGACUCAUCGAAUGCCACAUUUGCUUCAUCUUAAGUUCAAGUUUGACCCUCUACCUUCCCCAGUGGAGUCGCCAUUUUGUGGACUCCGCAUUUCGGUUCACACGUUUUCCACUCGAUGGCUGGCUCGAUUUUUAUUUGAAAAAUGAUUUUAUUUAUUAGAAAAUGACUUGGAGUCGCCACUUAUCUUUGUUUUAUUUUCAAAGGGUAAACAAAAUAAGAAAGAAAACCCUAAGUGCAACUCCUUAUUUUGGAAAAGGUGGUCUAUGAAAAACCGGAUCGGGCUCGGGGGUCAGGUUACUUAUUGGGAAGGUACGAUUAAGACCGUAGCACCCCUCUGAGUCCCUAAAGUCGGGUCUCUACUAAUAAAAUGAAGUUGUCAUGGCAAUCAAUAGGAAAAUCAACGGAUACUCAGGGUGAUCAUGUACAUGGGAAAAUCAAAACACUCAAUAAAGAACGAUCGAAGUGAGAACGGGGCAUACCUUAGCAUCAAUCGAUCAAUACGCUAUCAAGAAAAAGGGUUAGUACGCAAUUAAAAGAAUAAUCUCAUGUGUGUCAUAGAGCAGAAUGAAUCGAUCAUGUGUGAUAAUCAAAUCAAUCAAUCACUUAAUCAUAAAAUCACUUAUAUAGGGCCCCCACUACAGCCCGUUUAUUUUGCAUGAAUUAAUAUCACAAAUUCUAUUAUUCCGGAAUUAUGAGAAAUUCAUUUCUGCUUAUUAAAAUCAAGAGGAGUAGAAGAUUGUGUGAAAACCAGAAUGGAAUUAAAACCAUUUGAGAGAAAAUCGGAUUUUUGAAAUUUAUUUGAAAAAUUGGAGUCUCAAAGGUUACUUAAAAAUUGGAGUUUUCGAGUUUAUUUGAAUAUCAAACUUUUAUAAAUUAAAUGUAAGAAUGAGAAUUUUAGAAAUUAAAUUUGAACGAGAUUGAAAAUUUGAAAAUGAUUUGAGAGUUCGGGAUUUUAAAUGAGUGGAUAAGUGGAUGAGUGAAUAAGUAAAUGAAUGGAAUAAUGACAAUGGUGAAAUAAUAAAGAUCAAAUAAAUAAUUACGAGAGAUGGAAUUUUUAGAGAUUGGAGAUUAAACUUAUAGAUUAAAAAUUUAAGAAAUUAUUUCGAGAUGAGAUCUUUGGUAUAUGAAUAAUUGAAUAAGUAAAUGGAUGGAGGAACAUUAAUAAGGAAAAUAAUCAUUAAACAGCGGUAUAUGAACGGUGGAGUUUUUGAGAUUAGAAAUUACAUUUGGAAGUCGGGUUCUGAAGAAUUAAAUUUUAAUGAUUGGAAUAAAUAAAUAAAUAUGGAAUAAUAAUGCUAAUUAAGGAAAAUAAUAUUUAAACGAAUAAAAAAUGAGUAGUGGGAUUUUUGAGAUUGAAAAUUAAAUUAGGACGUUGGAUUUUUGAAGAAUUGGACUUUAAAUAAAUAAAUGAAUAUAGGAUAAUAAUUCUACUUAAGGAAAAUAACAUUUAGACGAAUAGUGGAAUUUUUAGGAUUGAAAAUUAAAUUAGGACAUUGGAUUUUUGAAGGAUUAGACUUUAAAUAAAUGAAUAAUCAUUGGAUAAUAAUUCUAAUUAACGAAAAUAACAUUUAGACGAAUAGUGGAAUUUUUAGGAUUGAAAAUUAAAUUACGACAUUAGCUUUUCGAAGGAUUAGAAUUUAAAUAAAUAAAUAAAUGUGGGAUAAUAAUUCUAAUUAACGAAAAUAACAUUUAGACGAAUAGUGGAAUUUUUAGGAUUGAGAAUUAAUUUAGGACAUUAGCUUUUCGAAGGAUUAGACUUCAAAUAAAUAAAUAAAUGUGAGAUAAUAAUUCUAAUUCACGAAGAUCACAUUUAGACGAAUAGUGGAAUUUUUAGGACUGAAAAUUAAAUUACGACGUCUGAUUUUUUUGAAGAAUUGAAUUUUAAUGAUUGGAAUUUUUAAAAGAAUUAAAUGAAUAAAUACGGAAUAAUGAAAAUGAUUUCAAGAAUAAUAUCUAAACGGAUGAAAGCAAAUAGUCGAAUAUUUGAAAUUGAAAAAUAAAUUAGGAAAUCAAAUUUUGGAAGAAUUGAAUUUUAAUGAUUAAAAUUUUUAAAAGAAUUAAAUGAAUAAAUGCGGAAUAAUGGUAAUGAUAACAAGAAUAAUAUCUAAACGAAUGAAAGUAAAUAAUCGAAUAUUUGAAUUUGAAAAAUAAAUUAGGAAGUCAGAUUUUUAGAGAAUUGAAUUUUAAUGAUUAGAAUUUUUAAAAGAAUUAAAUACAUAAAUACGGAAUAAUGAUAAUGAUAACAAGAAUAAUAUCUAAACGGAUGAAAGUAAAUAGUCGAAUAAUUGAAAUUAUAAAAAUAAAUUAGGAAGUCAAAUUUUUGAAGAAUUGAAUUUUAAUGAUUAGAAUUUUAAAAAGAAUUAAAUGAAUAAAUACGGAAUAAUGAUAAUGAUAACAAGAAUAAUAUCUAAACGGAUGAAAGUAAAUAGUCGAAAAUUUGAAAUUAAAAAAUAAAUUAGGAAGUCAAAUUUUUGAAAAAUUGAAUUUUAAUGAUUAGAAUUUUUAAAAGAAUUAAAUGAAUAAAUACGAAUAAUGGUAAUGAUAACAAGAAUAAUAUCUAAAUGGAUGAAAGUAAAUAUUCGAAUAUUUGAAAUUGAAAAAUAAAUUAGGAAGUCAUAUUUUUGAACAAUUGAAUUUUAAUGAUUAGAAUUUUUAAAAGAAUUAAAUGAAUAAAUACGGAAUAAUGGUAAUGAUAACAAGAAUAAUAUCUAAACGGAUGAAAGUAAAUAGUCGAAUAUUUGAAAUUGAAAAAUAAAUUAGGAAGUCAUAUUUUUGAAGAAUUGAAUUUUAAUGAUUAGAAUUUUUAAAAGAAUUAAAUGAAUAAAUGCGGAAUAAUGGUAAUGAUAACAAGAAUAAUAUCUAAACGGAUGAAAGUAAAUAGUCGAAUAUUUGAAAUUGAAAAAUAAAUUAGGAAGUCAAAUUUUUGAAGAAUUGAAUUUUAAUGAUUAGAAUUUUUAAAAGAUAUAAAUGAAUAAAUGCGGAAUAAUGGUAAUGAUAACAAGAAUAAUAUCUAAACGGAUGAAAGUAAAUAGUCGAAAAUUUGAAAUUGAAAAAUAAAUUCGGAAGUCAAAUUUUUGAAAAUUUGAAUUUUAUUAUUAGAAUUUUUAAAAGAAUUAAAUGAAUAAAUGCAGAAUAAUGGUAAUGAUAACAAGAAUAAUAUCUAAACGGAUGAAAGUAAAUAGUCGAAUAUUCGAAUUUGAAAAAUAAAUUAGGAAGUCAGAUUUUUGAAGAAUUGAAUUUUAAUGAUUAGAAAUUUUAAAAGAAUUAAAUGAAUAAAUACGAAAUAAUGGUAAUGAUAAUGAGAAUAAAAUCUAAACGGAUGAAAGUAAAUAGUCGAAUAUUUGAAAUUGAAAAAUAANNNNNNNNNNNNNNNNNNNNNNNNNNNNNNNNNNNNNNNNNNNAUAUCUAAACGGAUGAAAGUAAAUAUUCGAAUAUUUGAAAUUGAAAAAUAAAUUAAGAAGUCAGUUUUUGAAGAAUUGAAUUUUAAUGAUUAGAAAUUUUAAAAGAAUUAAAUGAAUAAAUACGAAAUAAUGGUAAUGAUAACGAGAAUAAAAUCUAAAUGGAUGAAAGUAAAUAGUCGAAUAUUUAAAAUUGAAAAAUAAAUUAGGAAGUCAAAUUUUUGUAGAAUUGAAUUUUAAUGAUUAGAAUUUUUAAAAGAAUUAAAUGAAUAAAUACGGAAUUAUGAUAAUGAUAACAAGAAUAAUAUCUAAACGGAUGAAAGUAAAUAUUCGAAUAUUUGAAAUUGAAAAAUAAAUUAAGAAGUCAAAUUUUUGAAGAAUUGAAUUUUAAUGAUUAGAAUUUUGUAAGAGAAUUAAAUGAAUAAAUACGGAAUAAUGAUAAUGAUAACAAGAAUAAUAUCUAAACGAUGAAAGUAAAUAGUAGAAUAUUCGAAUUUGAAAAAUAAAUUAGGAAGUCAGAUUUUUGAAGAAUUAAAUGAAUAAAUACGAAAUAAUGGUAAUGAUAACGAGAAUAAAAUCUAAACGGAUGAAAGUAAAUAGUCGAAUAUUUAAAAUUGAAAAUAAUUAGAAUUUUUAAAAGAAUUAAAUGAAUAAAUACGGAAUAAUGAUAAUGAUAACAAGAAUAAUAUCUAAACGGAUGAAAGUAAAUAUUCGAAUAUUUGAAAUUGAAAAAUAAAUUAGGAAGUCAAAUUUUUGAAGAAUUGAAUUUUAAUGAUUAGAAUUUUGUAAAAGAAUUAAAUGAAUAAAUACGGAAUAAUGAUAAUGAUAACAAGAAUAAUAUAUAAACGGAUGAAAGUAAAUAGUCGAAUAUUUGAAAUUAAAAAAUAAAUUAGGAACUCAAAUUUUUGAAGAAUUGAAUUUUAAUUAUUAGAAUUUUUAAAAGAUAUAAAUGAAUAAAUGCGGAAUAAUGGUAAUUAUAACAAGAAUAAUAUCUAACCGGAUGAAAGUAAAUAAUCGAAUAUUUGAAAUUGAAAAAUAAAUGAGGAAGUCAGAUUUUUGAAGAAUUGAAUUUUAAUGAUUAGAAUUUUUAAAAGAAUUAAAUGAAUAAAUGCGGAAUAAUGGUAAUGAUAACAAGAAUAAUAUAUAAACGGAUGAAAGUAAAUAGUCGAAUUUAUGAAAGUAAAUAGUCGAAUAUUUGAAAUUGAAAAAUAAAUUAGGAAGUCAAAUUUUUAAAGAAUUGAAUUUUAAUUAUUAGAAUUUUUAAAAGAUAUAAAUGAAUAAAUGCGGAAUAAUGGUAAUGAUAACAAGAAUAAUAUCUAACCGGAUGAAAGUAAAUAGUUGAAUAUUUGAAUUUGAAAAAUAAAUUAGGAAGUCAAAUUUUUGAAGAAUUGAAUUUUAAUAAUUAGAAAUUUUAAAAGAAUUAAAUGAAUAAAUGCGCAAUAAUGGUAAUGAUAACAAGAAUAAUAUCUAACCGGACGAAAGUAAAUAGUCGAAUAUUUGAAAUUGAAAAAUAAAUUAGGAAAUCAAAUUUUGGAAGAAUUGAAUUUUAAUGAUUAGAAUUUUUAAAAGAAUUAAAUGAAUAAAUGCGGAAAAAUGGUACUGAUAACAAGAAUAAUAUCUAAACGGAUGAAAGUAAAUAGUCAAAUAUUUGAAAUUGAAAAAUAAAUUAGGAAUUCAAAUUUUGGAAGAAGUGAAUUUUAAUGAUUAGAAUUUUUAAAAUAAUUAAAUGAAUGAAUGCGGAAUAAUGGUAAUGAUAACAAGAAUAAUAUAUAAACGGAUGAAAGUAAAUAGUCGAAUAUUCGAAAUUUAAAAAUAAAUGAGGAAAUCAGAUUUUGGAAGAAUUGAAUUUUAAUGAUUAGAAUUUUUAAAAGAAUUAAAUGAAUAAAUGCGGAAUAAUGGUAAUGAUAACAAGAAUAAUAUCUAAACGGAUGAAAGUAAAUAGUCGAAUAUUUGAAUUUGAAAAAUAAAUUAGGAAGUCAGAUUUUUUAGGAAUUGAAUUUUAAUGAUUAGAAUUUUUAAAAGAAUUAAAUGAAUAAAUACGGAAUAAUGAUAAUGAUAGUAAGAAUAAUAUCUAAACGGAUGAAAGUAAAUAGUCGAAUAUUUGAAAUUGAAAAAUAAAUUAGGAAGUCAAAUUUUUGAAGAAUUGAAUUUUAAUGAUUAGACUUUUUAAAAGAAUUAAAUGAAUAAAUAUGGAUAAUGAUAAUGAUAACAAGAAUAAUAUCUAAACGGAUGAAAGUAAAUAGUGAAAUUUUUUAGACUGAAUAUUAAAUUAGGAAGUCAGAUUUUUGAAUAAAUGAACUUUAAUGAUUUUAUUUUUUAAAAGAAAUAAUUAAAGAAACAUGGAAUAAUAAUAAUAAUAAUAAUAAUAAUAAUAAUAAUAAUAAUAAAAUAUUUAAACAGAUGAAAGUGAAUAGUGAAUAGUGAAAUUUUUUAGAGUGAAAAUUUGAAGAGGUAUUUAGAGAUGUGAUUUUAAAUAAAUGAAAGAGUGAAUAAAUAAAUAAAUGGAAUAAUAAAAAUAACAAUAAUUGGAUAAUAAUUACGAAGAUAGGAAUUUCGGAAUUUUGAAAUUUUGAAACAUUGACUUUAAGAAUUUGAAUAUUGGAAAAUUACAUUUAAAAUCAAAACCUUUUUAAAUUAUCACGAGAAUUGAAUUUUGAAAGAGUAAAACUUGAAAAAUAAUAAUAAGCGAAUGAAUAGAUAAAUAAAUGAGCAAAUAAAUAAACAAUAUUGGAGUUUGGGAAAAUUGAAUAUCAAGAAUUCGAGUUAUACGAACUGAAUUUAGAUUUAAAAUUGAGGAGGUUAUUUCGGAAAUGCUACAUAAAUAUAAAUAUGUUUUUGAGAACAAAUGAAUGGAUCAGUAAAUCUAGGACUUUGAAAUUUUAAGGGAUUUUAUAAGGGUCAUUUGAGAACGUGAAACAAAGGAAAGGAGAAUGACUAAAAUAACAUAAACAAAGAAAAAUAAAACUCUUAGUGCUGGGAGUUAGGAAAUGAGGCAAUGAUGGCCACUGCAUGCGCCUUGGAGGGUGGCUGGUGCGGACUAGGACUCGACGUCGCAACCCUCCACAGCGAGAGGAUCGUCCUCACAGCUGCUGCCGCCGCCGCUGACGGCGGUGAGGAGACCACCCACGGAGAUGAUAGAGUCGGCACGCCAUGCACGCGGGGAGUCAGGCGUGUCAUCACUUGCUGUCUUUCCCGGUGAGAGUCUGAUUCCGAUUAGAAAUUUGAAAGAAACUGACCACACACCCCAUCUGCUCCUCUAUCUGCCUCUCCAGAAAUUUUCAAAGUCCGCAUUAAUUCUGAGAAUCUGGUCCUUAUCCGACGAGAGCUCCUUCGAUAAGGCUGCCACUCUUUUUUUAAGAUCAAUAUUCGCAUCCUUAAUGGAUCUAAUAAAAGCUUCUAACUCAGCUGCUUUAAAUUCAUCAUUGCUCGUUUAAAACUUCUUUGUAUGGAGCCACCAAGUCUUCUCCCCUUUUCACUAGCUCAGGUACCAAGUUCCGUCAACAUCCAAGAACCAAUCUCCAGCAUUAUCAACGAAUGAUGCACAUAAUGCAACGCAUCCAAAGUACCGACAGAGAACAGAGGACAGCAACCAAGAAAAACAGAGUAUGGAGGAUGAAACCAAGAUGAACCGGUGAAGGCCACAUUUUGCGUUUUUGGUUCCCUAGCUUAGAAGUAGAUAUGAACUA
rnacentral:lncRNA from 1 species